UGGGGAAUCUUGCGCAAUGGGCGAAAGCCUGACGCAGCAACGCCGCGUGGGGGAUGACGGCCUUCGGGUUGUAAACCUCUUUCGACAUCGACGAAGGCCCUUUUGGGGUUGACGGUAGGUGUAGAAGAAGCACCGGCUAACUACGUGCCAGCAGCCGCGGUAAUACGUAGGGUGCGAGCGUUGUCCGGAUUUAUUGGGCGUAAAGAGCUCGUAGGCGGUUUGUCGCGUCUAUCGUGAAAACCGGGAGCUUAACUCCUGGCUUGCGGUGGAUACGGGCAGACUUGAGUUCGGCAGGGGAGACUGGAAUUCCUGGUGUAGCGGUGAAAUGCGCAGAUAUCAGGAGGAACACCGGUGGCGAAGGCGGGUCUCUGGGCCGAUACUGACGCUGAGGAGCGAAAGCGUGGGGAGCGAACA
rnacentral:rRNA from 1 species